UGGCUGUAAAUAGAGGUAGCAAGGCCGC
rnacentral:piRNA from 1 species